AUUGAACGCUGGCGGCAUGCCUUACACAUGCAAGUCGAACGGUAACAGAUCUUCGGAUGCUGACGAGUGGCGAACGGGUGAGUAAUACGUCGGAACGUGCCUAGUAGUGGGGGAUAACUACUCGAAAGAGUGGCUAAUACCGCAUGAGAUCUACGGAUGAAAGCAGGGGAUCGCAAGACCUUGUGCUACUAGAGCGGCCGAUGGCAGAUUAGGUAGUUGGUGGGAUAAAAGCUUACCAAGCCGACGAUCUGUAGCUGGUCUGAGAGGACGAUCAGCCACACUGGAACUGAGACACGGCCCAGACUCCUACGGGAGGCAGCAGUGGGGAAUUUUGGACAAUGGGCGCAAGCCUGAUCCAGCAAUGCCGCGUGCAGGAUGAAGGCCUUCGGGUUGUAAACUGCUUUUGUACGGAACGAAAAGGCCUGGGUUAAUACCCUGGGGUCAUGACGGUACCGUAAGAAUAAGCACCGGCUAACUACGUGCCAGCAGCCGCCGUAACAC
rnacentral:rRNA from 1 species